rnacentral:tRNA from 16 species
GGGCGAUUGGCGCAGCGGGAGCGCAGGUCCCUUACAAGGACAAGGUCGGGGGUUCAAAUCCCUCAUCGCCCACCA